rnacentral:rRNA from 1 species
GUUGACCUCGGAUCAGGUAGGGAUACCCGCUGAACUUAAGCAUAUCAAUAAGCGAAGGAA